GGCAAGGCGGCUGCUAUAAUGCAGUCGAGCGGACUAAUGGGAGCUUGCUCCCGUUAGUUAGCGGCGGACGGGUGAGUAACACGUGGGCAACCUACCUGUAAGACUGGGAUAACUUCGGGAAACCGGAGCUAAUACCGGAUGACAUAAAGGAACUCCUGUUCCUUUAUUGAAAGAUGGCCUCGGCUAUCACUUACAGAUGGGCCCGCGGCGCAUUAGCUAGUUGGUGAGGUAACGGCUCACCAAGGCGACGAUGCGUAGCCGACCUGAGAGGGUGAUCGGCCACACUGGGACUGAGACACGGCCCAGACUCCUACGGGAGGCAGCAGUAGGGAAUCUUCCGCAAUGGACGAAAGUCUGACGGAGCAACGCCGCGUGAGCGAUGAAGGCCUUCGGGUCGUAAAGCUCUGUUGUUAGGGAAGAAUAAGUGCUAGUUGAAUAAGCUGGCACCUUGACGGUACCUAACCAGAAAGCCACGGCUAACUACGUGCCAGCAGCCGCGGUAAUACGUAGGUGGCAAGCGUUGUCCGGAAUUAUUGGGCGUAAAGCGCGCGCAGGCGGUUUCUUAAGUCUGAUGUGAAAGCCCCCGGCUCAACCGGGGAGGGUCAUUGGAAACUGGGAAACUUGAGUGCAGAAGAGGAAAGUGGAAUUCCAAGUGUAGCGGUGAAAUGCGUAGAGAUUUGGAGGAACACCAGUGGCGAAGGCGACUUUCUGGUCUGUAACUGACGCUGAGGCGCGAAAGCGUGGGGAGCAAACAGGAUUAGAUACCCUGGUAGUCCACGCUGUAAACGAUGAGUGCUAAGUGUUAGAGGGUUUCCGCCCUUUAGUGCUGAAGUUAACGCAUUAAGCACUCCGCCUGGGGAGUACGGUCGCAAGACUGAAACUCAAAGGAAUUGACGGGGGCCCGCACAAGUGGUGGAGCAUGUGGUUUAAUUCGAAGCAACGCGAAGAACCCUUACCAGUCUUGACAUCCUCUGACAACCCUAGAGAUAGGCUUUCCCUUCGGGACAGAGUGACAGUGUGCAUGGUGUCGUCAGCUCGUGUCGUGAGAUGUUGGGUUAAGUCCCGCAACGAGCGCAACC
rnacentral:rRNA from 2 species